rnacentral:rRNA from 1 species
UUGGGUCUGAGAUACGGCCCAGACUCCUACGGGAGGCAGCAGUGGGGAAUAUUGCACAAUGGGCGCAAGCCUGAUGCAGCGACGCCGCGUGAGGGAUGGAGGCCUUCGGGUUGUAAACCUCUUUUGUUUGGGAGCAAGCCUUCGGGUGAGUGUACCUUUCGAAUAAGCG